rnacentral:rRNA from 1 species
AAAGAUGGUUCGUAAGAGUUGUCGCUUAGAGAUGAGCUCGCGUCCUAUCAGCUAGUUGGUGAGGGUAACGGCCCACCAAGGCAAUUGACGGGUAGCUGGCCUGAGAGGCGGUCAGCCACACGGGGACUGAGACACUGCCCCGACUCCUACGGGAGGCUGCAGUCGAGGAUCUUUAGCAAUGGGCGAAAGCCCGACUAUGCGACGCCGCGUGAGGGAUGAAGGUUUUCGGAUCGUAAACCUCUUUCAAUAGGGAAGAAAACUCUGCUUAACAAGCAGAACUGACGGUACCUAUAGAAGAAGCCACGGCCAACUCCGUGCCAGCAGCCGCGGUAAUACGGGGGUGGCGAGCGUUACUCGGAUUUAUUGGGUGUAAAGGGCAAGUAGGCGUCCCGAAAAGUUAGGAGUGAAAUCCUUUGGCUUAACCAAAGAACUGCUCCUAAAACUGGCGGGAUUGAGGCUGGAAGAGGAGAGCGGAAUUCCCGGUGUAAGGGUGAAAUCUGUAGAUAUCGGGAGGAACACCAGUGGCGAAAGCGGCUCUCUGGUCUAGAUCUGACGCUGAAUUGCGAAAGCUAGGGUAGCAAACAGGAUUAGAUACCUGGUAGUCCUAGCCGUAAACGAUGAGCACUAGGUGUUGAGAGUUUACUUUCAGCGCCUGUCAUAGAUAACUCGCUAAG